CACUGAUUCGCUUCUACAAGAUGCAUCUGAUAAAUGCGGUCAUGGCCACCAGGAUGGUCACGACGCUAGCCCAAUCGAACGGCGUCGGAGAAGGAAUUCCUUUUGGAUCCGUCUGGUGGUUCAUUUACGCUGGCAUCUCCUGCAUACUCGUUCUCUUCGCCGGUAUCAUGUCCGGUCUUACGCUCGGCCUCAUGUCCCUCGGCCUCGUCGAGCUCGAAAUUCUCCAACGUAGCGGCACCUCUUCCGAGAAGAAACAAGCAGCUGCUAUUCUUCCNNNNNNNNNNNGCUUCUAGUGACUUUGCUUCUAUGUAAUGCUGCCGCCAUGGAGGCUCUUCCUCUAUACCUCGA
rnacentral:misc_RNA from 1 species